CUACGGGGGGCUGCAGUGGGGAAUAUUGCACAAUGGACGGAAGUCUGAUGCAGCAACGCCGCGUGGAGGAUGACACAUUUCGGUGCGUAAACUCCUUUUAUAUAGGAAGAUAAUGACGGUACUAUAUGAAUAAGCGCCGGCUAACUCCGUGCCAGCAGCCGCGGUAAUACGGAGGGCGCAAGCGUUACUCGGAAUCACUGGGCGUAAAGAGCGUGUAGGCGGAUAGAUAAGUCAGGAGUGAAAUCCUAUGGCUCAACCAUAGAACUGCUCUUGAAACUGUCUAUCUAGAAUAUGGGAGAGGUAGAUGGAAUUUCUGGUGUAGGGGUAAUAUCCGUAGAGAUCAGAAGGAAUACCGAUUGCGAAGGCGAUCUACUGGAACAUUAUUGACGCUGAGACGCGAAAGCGUGGGGAGCAAACAGGAUUAGAUACCCUAGUAGUC
rnacentral:rRNA from 1 species